rnacentral:rRNA from 1 species
GCGGUUAUACGAGAGGCCCAAGUUGAUCAAUCUCGGCGUAAAGCGUGGUUAAGGAAAGAUUAGGACUAAAGCCGAAUAUAAACAAAGCCGUUAUACGCACUUGAAAAUAAGAAGCCCGAUCACGAAAGUAGCUUUACAACCCCUGAUCCCACGAAAGCUAAGAUA